rnacentral:rRNA from 1 species
ACGGAAGGCAGCAGUGGGGAAUAUUGCACAAUGGGGGAAACCCUGAUGCAGCGACGCCGCGUGAGUGAUGAAGUACUUCUGUACGUAAAGCUCUAUCAGUAGGGAAGAUAAUGACGGUACCUAACUAAGAAGCACCGGCUAAAUACGUGCCAGCAGCCGCGGUAAUACGUAUGGUGCAAGCGUUAUCCGGAUUUACUGGGUGUAAAGGGAGCGUAGGCGGUACGGCAAGUCUGAUGUGAAAACCCGGGGCUCAACUCCGGGAUUGCAUUGGAAACUGUCGAACUAGAGUGUCGGAGGGGUAAGUGGAAUUCCCAGUGUAGCGGUGAAAUGCGUAGAUAUUGGGAGGAACACCAGUGGCGAAGGCGGCUUACUGGACGAUUACUGACGCUGAGGCUCGAAAGCGUGGGGAGCAAACAGGAUUAGAUACCCUGGUA